GCCGCCGCGCCGGAAAGUUCCUCACCCCUUGCGCGGUGGGCUCCGACUCUCAGGCCAAGUGGGAAGUGCAGCCGGCGGCGCCCACACUUCCAGCUCCAGCAAAGUAACUUUCUGACGCUGGGGAGUGAGGGGGAAAGCGGAAAAAUUCGCAACUGCUCGCUCUUCCCUGUCAGACUGAACGGCCCCUCCCCCCCAUCCCCCUCCGCUGCCUCGCGGCCUCGGUUCCAUGUUCUCUCUCACCCGGGCGAUGUGGGGCUUUUCAGGAAAGGGUGAGGAGAAGGGGAGAGAGAGAGAGAGAGAGAGAAAAAAAAGCGGGGCUUUGCCAGCCCCCUGCCGCAAUAUAGCGACUUAGAAAUGGCGGGGUCGACGCCAACAGCUCGAGUAAGAACUGUGAUGGGAACUUUGCCCAGGCGAGAAGCAGAAGCAAGAUAAGUCAUCCACCAAAACAUGAGCAGGUCCCCAUUCUGAGCUCCAUUCAAAGAAGUGUUUCCAACUGAGUUGUCCAUGUUGCAUAGGGACUGCACAGGAAAGAAUCUACUAAGAGUUGAUUUUAAGGCUCUUUAUUUUGAACUGAUAAUAAUUUUCCAGGACUCUACUCCAGUGCUGAAUUUCUAAUUUAAGAAGUGGUCUGAAAAGAAGGAACUAUUGAAGAAAACUGAGGAGUACUCAGAGAAGUAAAAGGAAAAUCAGGAGAGGAUUGGAGACAAGGUCAUGUUAGCAUCACAUCCUUACUGCAAAUCCUGACCAAAUCCUACAAAUUGAAUUGGAACACUGCCAGCCCUCAUGGAACUGGGUAGAAUGCAUGACUUGGAUGUCUGUAUCUAGCAGAACAUAGAUGCUUGAGUCCUUUACCGCCCUUAAGUUCUCCAGCACGCUUGGAAGUGAGUAUGUAGCUUUUGUUCCUCCUUGGGCUCAGGGAGACCCCCAACCUUACCUUUAAUUGCCCUUGUCUUUUAAGCAGCUGAAGUCAGGGUAGAAAGGAUGAUGGGAGGAAUCUGGGGGUGUGUAGGGAGAGAGUGGCUCUGUGCCAGUGAGCAAAGCACAUUGGUUUUCCACUUUGAAUGACCGAGCAGCUACUCAUGGCUCAACUAAAAUGAAGUUCCAAUGUUUUUGGAUCAUGCAAGUGCUCUGUGAGCUUUGGGGACUCCUUGACCCUUCUUUGUCUUUCCUCUCAGAAGAGAGUGAGCAACAACCAAAACACCAUUUAGGUGAUUCAUUUCAAUCUUAUCUCUUGCUCCUCAGACUCUAAAUAUUCAUAAACAGAUAGGACAGUGGGAGACUCUUACUCUUCUCAUCUCCCCUACCUAUAUUUACUACUGGGCCCUGGGAAAUCUUUUUAAAAACCUAAUUGAGUCCUUAGGAUCCCUUAUCCUUUCUCUUCCAGAAAGCUAUGUCUGUCAGCAUCCUUUUCUUUUUGCUAAAAGCUAUCAAGUUAGCUUGCUACAGUUUUGUGGAUGCUGGCAAAAGACGUGAGAUUCCUGGGUCAGAGAAAAAGGACUUAAUUACUUGUAGCACAACAGGCAGCACAAGCUUCCUGUUCAUGCCAUUUAUGCCCCCAUAAGUCUCAUGGAUGUGAUUUGCAGAAACCCAGAUCAACAUGGCACACACAGUAGGUUUGUAUCACUGCUGAGGGACUCUGAGCAUAGGAAACCUCAUAGGAAACCUCAAUUACAAAGGGGCUGCAAGGAAACUUGCCCAGGGUUUGCCAAGGAGAGAAACAUUAUCUUAAUUAUACGGGGAAGCAAACAAACUUGCCCUCUUCUCUGAAGAGAGAUACUGUCUUCUUCCAAGAUUGUUCUCUAUACAAACAUGCUUGGAAAAAUAAUCCAGAACAAAAAAAAGAGUUCCUCCUCUUGCAAAGAUGUGCAGAAAUGCGAGAGACUCACAGAGAAUUUCUCUCAGCAAGUAGGUUCUGGGCAUUCUUUUCUUUCUCCUUCUCUUGACCCCACUUCCUCUUUGUUUCCU